rnacentral:rRNA from 1 species
AUGAACGCUAGCUACAGGCUUAACACAUGCAAGUCGAGGGGCAGCAUGAACUUAGCUUGCUAAGUUUGAUGGCGACCGGCGCACGGGUGAGUAACACGUAUCCAACCUGCCGAUGACUCGGGGAUAGCCUUUCGAAAGAAAGAUUAAUACCCGAUGGCAUAGUUCUUCCGCAUGGUGGAACUAUUAAAGAAUUUCGGUCAUCGAUGGGGAUGCGUUCCAUUAGGUUGUUGGCGGGGUAACGGCCCACCAAGCCUUCGAUGGAUAGGGGUUCUGAGAGGAAGGUCCCCCACAUUGGAACUGAGACACGGUCCAAACUCCUACGGGAGGCAGCAGUGAGGAAUAUUGGUCAAUGGACGAGAGUCUGAACCAGCCAAGUAGCGUGAAGGAUGACUGCCCUAUGGGUUGUAAACUUCUUUUAUACGGGAAUAAAGUGAGGCACGCGUGCCUUUUUGUAUGUACCGUAUGAAUAAGGAUCGGCUAACUCCGUGCCAGCAGCCGCGGUAAUACGGAGGAUCCGAGCGUUAUCCGGAUUUAUUGGGUUUAAAGGGAGCGUAGGCGGACGCUUAAGUCAGUUGUGAAAGUUUGCGGCUCAACCGUAAAAUUGCAGUUGAUACUGGGUGUCUUGAGUACAGUAGAGGCAGGCGGAAUUCGUGGUGUAGCGGUGAAAUGCUUAGAUAUCACGAAGAACUCCGAUUGCGAAGGCAGCCUGCUGGACUGUAACUGACGCUGAUGCUCGAAAGUGUGGGUAUCAAACAGGAUUAGAUACCCUGGUAGUCCACACAGUAAACGAUGAAUACUCGCUGUUUGCGAUAUACAGUAAGCGGCCAAGCGAAAGCGUUAAGUAUUCCACCUGGGGAGUACGCCGGCAACGGUGAAACUCAAAGGAAUUGACGGGGGCCCGCACAAGCGGAGGAACAUGUGGUUUAAUUCGAUGAUACGCGAGGAACCUUACCCGGGCUUGAAAGUUAGCGACGAUUCUUGAAAGAGGAUUUCCCUUCGGGGCGCGAAACUAGGUGCUGCAUGGUUGUCGUCAGCUCGUGCCGUGAGGUGUCGGUUUAAGUGCCAUAACGAGCGCAACCCUUAUCGAUAGUUACCAUCAGGUUAUGCUGGGGACUCUGUCGAGACUGCCGUCGUAAGAUGUGAGGAAGGUGGGGAUGACGUCAAAUCAGCACGGCCCUUACGUCCGGGGCUACACACGUGUUACAAUGGGGGGUACAGAAGGCAGCUACACGGCGACGUGAUGCUAAUCCCGAAAGCCUCUCUCAGUUCGGAUUGGAGUCUGCAACCCGACUCCAUGAAGCUGGAUUCGCUAGUAAUCGCGCAUCAGCCACGGCGCGGUGAAUACGUUCCCGGGCCUUGUACACACCGCCCGUCAAGCCAUGAAAGCCGGGGGUACCUGAAGUGCGUAACCGCGAGGAGCGCCCUAGGGUAAAACUGGUGAUUGGGGCU